rnacentral:lncRNA from 1 species
UUGCCAGUGGACUAAAGAGAAGUUAAGGGGAAUAUCGGGAUGCUCUUCUUAGCUUCUUUACCAAUAAUUUUGGAACUGCAUGAAAAGAAACAGCUCUGAAAUAAGAGGUGUUUUGUGUAUGCGUUGUAUUUGGCACAUGUUUGCAUGACAAGAGGUAGGACUGUCUUGACUGCUGCAUUUUGCACGUGCCUUUCACAUUCGUGUAAGAGGUAUUUACAUGUUUUCCAGUGAGAAGACCUUUUGUUUUGCUGUAAAGCACUUUUGUCCGG